GAUGAACGCUGGCGGCGUGCCUAAUAUAUGCAAGUCGAACGGAUGUAGCAAUACAUUUGUGGCGCACGGGUGCGUAACGCGUAUGCAACCUACCUUCAUCAGGGGGAUAACUACUCGAAAGGGUGGCUAACACCGCAUAAUACUACUGAAUGGCAUCAUUUGGUAUUUAAAUCGGAGGAGGAUGAAGAUGGGCAUGCGUCUGAUUAGCUAGUUGGUGUGGUAACGGCGCACCAAGGCGACGAUCAGUAGGGGAACUGAGAGGUUGGUCCCCCACACUGGCACUGAGAUACGGGCCAGACUCCUACGGGAGGCAGCAGUAGGGAAUAUUGGUCAAUGGUGGGAACACUGAACCAGCCAUUCCGCGUGCAGGAAGAAGGGUCUCUGACUUGUAAACUGCUUUAGCAAGGGAAGAAAAAGCUCAUGCGUGAGAAAUUGACGGUACCUUGAGAAUAAGCACCGGCUAACUACGUGCCAGCCGCCGCCGUAA
rnacentral:rRNA from 1 species